rnacentral:rRNA from 1 species
UCGAACGAGAAAGUGGAGCAAUCCAUGAGUAAAGUGGCGCACGGGUGAGUAACACGUGACUAACCUACCCUUGAGUGGGGGAUAACCUGGGGAAACCUUGGCUAAUACCGCAUAACACCUACGGGUCAAAGGAGCAAUUCGCUUAAGGAGGGGGUCGCGGCAGAUUAGUUAGUUGGCGGGGUAAUGGCCCACCAAGACAGUGAUCUGUAUCCGGCCUGAGAGGGCGCACGGACACACUGGAACUGAAACACGGUCCAGACUCCUACGGGAGGCAGCAGUGGGGAAUUUUGCGCAAUGGGGGAAACCCUGACGCAGCAACGCCGCGUGGAGGAUGAAGUCCCUUGGGACGUAAACUCCUUUCGACCGGGACGAUUAUGACGGUACCGGAAGAAGAAGCCCCGGCUAACUUCGUGCCAGCAGCCGCGGUAAUACGAGGGGGGCGAGCGUUGUUCGGAAUUAUUGGGCGUAAAGGGUGCGUAGGCGGUUCGGUAAGUUUCGUGUGAAAUCUUCGGGCUCAACUCGAAGCCUGCACGAAAUACUGCCGGGCUUGAGUGUGGGAGAGGUGAGUGGAAUUUCCGGUGUAGCGGUGAAAUGCGUAGAUAUCGGAAGGAACACCUGUGGCGAAAGCGGCUCACUGGACCACAACUGACGCUGAUGCACGAAAGCUAGGGGAGCAAACAGGAUUAGAUACCCUGGUAGUCCUAGCCCUAAACGAUGAUCGCUUGGUGUGACGGGUACCCAAUCCCGCCGUGCCGAAGCUAACGCGUUAAGCG